GGGGGGGGGGGGGGGGGGGGGGUUCUACCUGGUCCAAGAGGAACAAGGGCACCGACUCGACAGAGAAGAGGUUUGUCCCAGCAGCAGGAGUUCCCGAAAUCGCACCGGGGCUGGAGGUUCAAGCUGCUGCAUCUGCUAUCCGGCAUGGUCUCCAUCGCCGCCUGCAACCAAUUCCAGGCCCGCACCAGUCAGUACUCAGUAGCUGAACUCUGCGUGGUAUGCCGGCACGCUCCAGCGGAAACUUCCUUGUUUGUGAAUCACGUCUGUCUAUGUAAUUACUGCCACCACAUCGUCGUGUCCGAUCCCUCCUCGACGCCAUGCCUGCUCUGUCUCGCUCAACUCUUUCCCGGCCGGCAGUGAGCGACUAUGGCUUCAGUUUAGAAGACAGUUUUGCUGUUCAGGUUAUCUACAAUCGACCAUGUAUCCAGGCUCCCAUUGCCUUAUGUUUCUGCAUUUUGUCAACCAAGAUCAUGCGCUGCUCAUUGUCCUAGCCCUGGUCACAUGAAGUUUGAGCUCAUGCUAGAUUCUGUUAUAAGGCUCGUACUGUUUAUUUCUUGGUAGCUUUCUGAACUCAAUCAGCAGUGCUACGCCUGAACUGAUUAACCUGCUCAAGUCCUAUGUUUAUUUAGUCGUCUCUGCGACAACUUAUGCACUAAGAUGCUGCGCAUCCCGUUCUAUCAAGUAACUUUCGUCA